rnacentral:rRNA from 1 species
ACAGCCCCGUACACAAAAAUGCACAUGCUGUGAGCUCGAUGAGUAGGGCGGGACACGUGGUAUCCUGUCUGAAUAUGGGGGGACCAUCCUCCAAGGCUAAAUACUCCUGACUGACCGAUAGUGAACCAGUACCGUGAGGGAAAGGCGAAAAGAACCCCGGCGAGGGGAGUGAAAAAGAACCUGAAACCGUGUACGUACAAGCAGUGGGAGCACGCUUAGGCGUGUGACUGCGUACCUUUUGUAUAAUGGGUCAGCGACUUAUAUUCUGUAGCAAGGUUAACCGAAUAGGGGAGCCGAAGGGAAACCGAGUCUUAACUGGGCGUUAAGUUGCAGGGUAUAGACCCGAAACCCGGUGAUCUAGCCAUGGGCAGGUUGAAGGUUGGGUAACACUAACUGGAGGACCGAACCGACUAAUGUUGAAAAAUUAGCGGAUGACUUGUGGCUGGGGGUGAAAGGCCAAUCAAACCGGGAGAUAGCUGGUUCUCCCCGAAAGCUAUUUAGGUAGCGCCUCGUGAAUUCAUCUCCGGGGGUAGAGCACUGUUUCGGCAAGGGGGUCAUCCCGACUUACCAACCCGAUGCAAACUGCGAAUACCGGAGAAUGUUAUCACGGGAGACACACGGCGGGUGCUAACGUCCGUCGUGAAGAGGGAAACAACCCAGACCGCCAGCUAAGGUCCCAAAGUCAUGGUUAAGUGGGAAACGAUGUGGGAAGGCCCAGACAGCCAGGAUGUUGGCUUAGAAGCAGCCAUCAUUUAAAGAAAGCGUAAUAGCUCACUGGUCGAGUCGGCCUGCGCGGAAGAUGUAACGGGGCUAAACCAUGCAC